GUGGGGAAUCUUAGACAAGGGGGGAAACCCUGAUCUAGCCAUGCCGCGUGAGCGAUGAAGGCCUUAGGGUUGUAAAGCUCUUUCAGCUGGGAAGAUAAUGACUGUACCAGCAGAAGAAGCCCCGGCUAACUCCGUGCCAGCAGCCGCGGUAAUACGGAGGGGGCUAGCGUUGUUCGGAAUUACUGGGCGUAAAGCGCACGUAGGCGGACCGGAAAGUCAGAGGUGAAAUCCCAGGGCUCAACCUUGGAACUGCCUUUGAAACUCCUGGUCUUGAGGUCGAGAGAGGUGAGUGGAAUUCCGAGUGUAGAGGUGAAAUUCGUAGAUAUUCGGAGGAACACCAGUGGCGAAGGCGGCUCACUGGCUCGGUACUGACGCUGAGGUGCGAAAGCGUGGGGAGCAAACAGGAUUAGAAACCCGGGUAGUCC
rnacentral:rRNA from 1 species